GGCGAUGGCUGCUGCCGCUGCUACCGCCGCUGCUUGGCAGGGAGGGAGACCUUGAGCAGAGCGGCGGCACCGGCACGCGUUCCCGGACGCGCCAUAGGUCGCCUCGUCGGACCCCGUUUGCUCAAGCCUCGGCGCCCUCGUUGCCUCCCUCGCCUACCCCCGUCCCGUCUUCCACCACCACCCUUUAUUGUUUGUUUGCUCCCAACGCCGUCGUCUUCGCACGCAGCAGCUGCAGCUUCGAUGGACGGACCGUUCCUGCCACCCUUGGAUGUUCCGCUAUGUUUCUGAUUCGCAGCUCAGCUGAACUCCCACAUCCGGCCGGUCUUCGAUCCCAGCUUCUCUCAUGGGCUCCCCAGUAUCAUUUGUUUUAUCCAGGAUGGCCGCUUGUGGAGGCACCACUAAAAAUAGGCUCACGGUAAAUAAGCACGUCUGGGACUUCCUGACCAAGGAAAGUCCUGCCAAACUGGUCAAGUUGAAAGAGGAGAAUAAAGUUGGUGUCUUGAUCGAUGGUGAGACAUCCGAGAUCUAUGUGCUGCAGAUUACCAUGCCUGCCCAUGGACCAAGCAAUGGCCUCUACCUGGCUCGUAAGGCUCUCAAAGCACUGCUCAAGGAAACAGAGAAGGAAUUGAAGAAGGCUCAGCGUCAGAGUGAGCUGAUGGGCUGCAUGGCCUUGAUGGAGAAGAGCCGGGAACACGGAGCUGUAGAGCUCCACCGUCGAGGAGCUGCCUUGAUAUCCCGAGGGCAGCAGACCUCUGGGCCAAGAGUAGUAGGUGGCAGUGGAGGGAUGGCCAGCUGCUCAAGGGGAGGGGAGGAGGAACAGGACAGCCAGUGCCCCAUUUGUUUGGGGGAGAUCCAGAACAUUAAGACUUUGGAGAAAUGCAAGCACUCCUUCUGUGAGGACUGCAUCACCCGGGCCUUGCAGGUCAAGAAAGCCUGCCCAAUGUGUGGGCGUUUCUACGGGCAGCUGGUAGGGAACCAGCCGGAGAAUGGACGCAUGCUAGUCUCCAAGGAUUCAAGUCUUCUGCUUCCUGGUUACGAGAAAUACGGCACCAUCAUAAUCCAGUAUGUCUUUCCACCUGGCAUACAAGGAGUGGAACAUCCCAAUCCUGGCGUCCGCUACCCAGGCACUACCCGUGUGGCUUACUUACCUGACUGCCCUGAAGGCAACAAGGUUCUGGCGCUCUUCCGCAAGGCCUUUGAUCAACGGCUCACCUUCACUAUUGGGACCUCCAUGACCACAGGGCGAGCCAACGUCAUCACCUGGAACGACAUCCAUCACAAAACCAACUGCACUGGGGGACCCCAGCUGUUUGGGUACCCAGAUCCUACAUAUCUUGCUCGGGUGCAAGAGGAACUACGAGCCAAGGGUAUCACCAAUGACUGAUCUCUGUUGCCACGUGCCCAGGAAUGGCUUCUUGUUACUGCCGAACUCCGCUCUUGUGGAGGGAGCUCCGUCAUUCGUCGGAGCCAACUAUCUCUAUCACACGAUCUUAAUCCAGAGAACAAAGCUUGAGCUUUGGGGCUGAAAUUGACAUUUUUUAUGUAAUUGAUUGUUUGAGGAACUGGAGAACAAAGACAUGAGGCAUGAGAGUGAGUGAUGCAAAAGAAAGAUGAUGGAAUUUAGGACUCAUUCAAAAUAGUUGUAUCAAGAGGGCCGUCAUGCUGAAUGAUUUGCUUUGGGGGGGGGGGGGAAGAGAAAAACAAACAAAAAUGGCCUGUCCCUGCAUUGAGUAGCAAACAUAUAGGUACCUCUACUGAGCCUCUCUUUUCAAUGUGCUAGUUUACUUCAUGCAGAGGUGUUUUUUUUUCUUUUUUUACUGAAUGAUAAAUAUAUAUAUAUAUGCACCACCAAGACUUAAAAUCUGAAGCUGCAAACUCCAGAAUUCACCACCUCAAUACUUUGGCUCUUGAGGAUAAAAUAGAUAUGAUCGAGUGGAUCUGUUAUCAAGGCCAACUCCGUUGAACUUUCUUGAAACGUUGGGACAUACCAGCUAAAACAAACAAGAAGCUUCUUGAUUCCGGACAGAGAGGCCACAAUUCAAGUGUUCUCCUUGGAGAGGAGGAUCAGCCACCUCAUGGGACCACCCGUUGUGUAUUCAUAGGCUUCUCAGCUGGCAUAUCAACUCUCCUAUAAUUAUUCCAGCCUUUCCACUUGGGACAACUAGUCUUACUGGGAUCUUAGCCAGCCCUUCUCUUAAAUCUCUGGUGGGUCUGUAAUGCUCCUGACUCUGGGUGCCUACCUGUUGUUGAGUGUUUUGUGGGAGGGGGAGGGAGGGAAAUGUCUCUUGGCUAACUGUAAGCGUGUCUCCUCUGGCAGAGAUGACUUCUAAUACUCAGUUUGUCUCGUAUUGGUGAGAGCUUCCCACGAACGCACAGUUUGGACAACGGGGCUUUCUUUUGCUGUUUUAAAAAAGAGUAACUGAACAUGUGCCACUUGUUCUCAUCUUUGUGGAAUGCGUGUUUGUGGUUUACAUAUUUCCACCUAUUUAUUCAAAGGAGUUUACAGUUUGAAAUGAUGGAAUGUGAACCGAAG